rnacentral:rRNA from 1 species
GAUGAACGCUGGCGGCGUGCCUAAUACAUGCAAGUCGAGCGAAGCGGGGAUGGGUGAGUAACACGUGGAUAACCUCCUAUAAGACUGAGAUAACUUCGGGAAACCGAAGCUAAAUCGGUUACUUAUAGAUAGAUCCGCGCUGCAGUAGCCAGUUGGUAAGGUAACGGCUAACCAAGGCAACGAUGCAUAGCCGACCUGAGAGGGUGAGCGGCCACACUGGAACUGAGAGACGGUCCAUAAUCCUACGGGAGGCAGCAGUAGGGAAUCUGCCGCAAUGGGAGAAAGCCUGACGGAGCAACGCCGCGUGAGUGAUGAAGGUCUUCGGAUCGUAAAACUCUAUUAUGAGGGAAGCGGUACCUAAUCAGAAAGCCACGGCUAACUACGUGCCAGCAGCCGCGGUAAUUC